AAAAAGUUAUAUAUAUAAUAAUUUAUUAAUUUAUAGGUUAAUUGCAUAAAGCUCACCGUAAACAUAUCGAAUAGCAAAUAUAUCACUAUAAAUUUCAACUUUUCAUAUUUAUCCUUACAAAAGUCCUAACGUUCUCAUGUUUGAAUCCGUUAAGAAAAUAUAGUUAACCAUAGCUCAAAUAUUUAAUCCUUAUUAGUGAAUGAGGUAAAUUAAUAUUUUUACCCUUGUUAUAUUAGUUGUGAUGGUAGAAAGAAAGAAGAUAACCGUUUGAAAAUUUUUAGAUGGAUAUUUCUCUAUAAUUCAAACAUUUGGGGCUUUUGAAUAAAUAUAUUUAUGAUAGCAAAAAUAUUAUUUUAUUUAUUUUUUUUGUUAAAAAAUAAACAACACUAUAACGGUCAUAAACCAGAGGAGCAAAUAUGAAUAUCACUUGAUUUUUGGAGAAAUAAAUAUAAAAAGUCGAAUUUUGUAGAAAUAUAUUUAUAAUUCAAUAUGUUUAAAAUUAACCCAAAUAUAUAUAAAUA
rnacentral:lncRNA from 1 species